rnacentral:lncRNA from 1 species
GAAUAUGAAGGCUUGAGAAGCCAUGGAAGAAGCUUCCAACUUUCAGCUAAUGCAUGGUAGGCAUUUCUAGUCCCGUUUUUAAUUAUUUUUAUAUUUUUGAGAUCGUUGUUGCUUAAUCUAUCUAAUGAGGGGACUAUUUUGCAAAACCAUUGAAUAGUUUGAUAUUUUCCAUUGAUGAGUAUAAUAGGGCUUUGAAGUUUAAUGGAAGAAUAUGAGUCCUUGUUGAUAGUUAAACACUUUUUGUUAAGUGAAUUUUUGUGAAAUUGACAAUUAAGGGCUAAAUUGAUAAAUGUAAAAAAUUUGUGGUUAAAAUGUCAAAUAAAUGAAAUGUGUGGGCUGCUAGAGACACUAGUGAUAUUCUUCUAUAGUAGAAUUUUACUCAAUUUCAUGAAUUUGCAUUUUUAUGAUAUAGGGACUAAAUUGUAAAGAAGUUGAAAUAUUAGGGGCAAAACUAUAAUUUUUCCAUAAAGUGAAUUAUGGACUGUUUUGAUACCAUGAACAUUCGGCUAAGCUUAAUUAUGGUUAAAAAUGGUUAAUUUGCACGUUUUGAGCUCAGGGACUAAAAUGAAUAAAAGUAAAACUUUAGGGGUAAUUUUGUAAAAAUGAUAAAAAUGACCAAAUUGUAUGAAAUGAGGUGUUUUAAUGUCUAAAUUAAUAUACUGAAUGAAAUUAUUAAUUUAGAUCAAGAUCGGGUGAAAAAUCGAGAAAAAUGAGAAAAUUACCAAAAUACCCCUGAACUUUGGUAUCUCUACAAUUUAGCCAGGUAAGUUCGUAUGCAAUAAGCAUUGUUAAAUUGAUGUUUCUAAUGCUUUAAUAUUGUAUAAAUUGUAUAUACGUGAAUAUUUUAAUGUCUGACGACAUAUCGACAAAAUGUGGCACUUAGUGUGCGAGGCAAUCAAAUAUGGUACUCAGUGUACGAAAUAUUGAGAAUGACACUUAGUGUGCAAGAUAUUGAGAAUGACACUUAGUGUGCAAAAUAUCGAAUGAUUCAAAGGGAAAUUAUAAAUUGUGAUUGAAUGAUUAAAUAGAGCAAAGUGAACAUGUAUACAUGCUAUAUUAUAUGAAUUGUUUAUAAGACGACUUUAUAAUGGUGAUAUUUGGGCUUUGAGCCUAGCAAGCUUUAAGCUGGUGAAUAAUAUUAUUGGGUUUAAAACCUAGCAGGCUAAAUGUCAGUGAUUUGAUAAAAGUCUAAGACUAUGAGACCUUGUGUUAAAUCGGCAAUUGAAUUUGUUCAAUGCAUUAAGUUGGCCAGGUAUGUGAUAUAUUCUUAUGCAUGUUAGAUCGAUUAGAAUUGAAUCAUGAGUGUGAAAUGAGAAGCAUAGGUGAAAAUGCCUAUGUCAUAUAUGUGAGUAAGGGCAAAACCAUCGUAAAUUAUCGAUAAGGAUGGACUAUGUGCGGAAUCAUCUUAUAAUUGCUAAUUUGAACGGUUGUGUGCGAAUUAUUGAGCAUGAUGUAUUGUAUUGAGAUUAUGCUUGAGUGAAAUUAUAGAUAUGUGAUGAAAUUGAUUGGUGAUAUACAUGUUUAAAUAAUGUGAAUGCAAAAAAUGUGUGAAAAAGUAAAUUUGUAAUAAAUCUGCUUGGGACAGCAGCAGUAACGUGAUUUUGGAAAAUCACCAUAAAUUGUUGGAGUUGAGUUAGAAGCUGAAUAAAUUAUAUAAUUAAAGCUUAAUGAGUCUAAUUUCUUAUAAAAGAAACCGUGUAAGCAAAAGAAUUGCUGUUAAUGAGAUAUUUGAAGUGGCGUGGGAUAGAGUCAAAUGACUUCGGGGUCCCCUGUUCUGUUUUUAGAAAAUCAUUAUAAUUUGUAAAAAAAUGGUUAUAAGAUAAAAUUUAUAUCCUUAGACUCAUUAAUGAGUCUAGUUUCAAAUGAAAUCAAAUAUAACCUAUUUUGAAUUCUGUACAAUGAGAAAUUUGAUUCGUAGUGAAGAGUGGUCAGAUUAGUCAAACAGUGAAACAGGGGAAACUUUAAGAAAAAUCUGGUAUUGAUUGGCCAAAUCUAAAAUUCUGAAAAUUUUAUGGAUGGAAGAUAUAUGAGUCUAUUUUCAGGGAAAAUUAACGGCAAUUGAUUUGGAGUUUUGUAGCUCUAGUUAUAAAUAAUUUAGUGACUAUUGCUCAGGAAGACAACUUGUAGUGAAUUUGUGAUUAUGUUGUAAACAUUGAUAAAACUUGUUAAUGAGUUGCUUAUUGUUUUCUUAUGAACUUACUAAGCGUAAAGCUUACUCCCCUUUUCUUUCCCAUAUUCCCUAGGGUUUCCAGGUUAGCUCGGGUUGGAGGCCGUCAGAGAUAUUAUCACAUUGUCAAGUCUACGCUAUCGGUGUAAGUAAAUCUUAGUGUUUCGAGUCUAUGGCAUGUAUAGGGUUGUAAAGUUGAGUAAGUAAAUGAUACAAGACUAAGAUAUUGGUAAAUAUUUAAUAAUGCAUAAUGAAUAUUUUGGGCCUUGUAAGCCCGAUUAAAGGAUAAUAUACGUGUGUAUGAAAAGUUUAAAUUGAUCAAAAAUUUUUACGGUCUGAUUUUAU